rnacentral:RNase_P_RNA from 1 species
GCGGAGGAUUGGAUGGCCGAGGCAAGGGUUCGCCCCUGUCUAGGAAAGUCCGGACUCCAUCAAGGCAUGAUGCUGGGUAACGCCCAGGCAGGGCAACCUGACGGACAGCGCCACAGAGAACAGACCGCCUUCUAUAAGAAGGUAAGGGUGAAACGGUGGAGUAAGAGCCCACCGCGGCGAUGGCAACAUCGCUGGCAUGGCAAGCCCCAUCAGGAGCAAUGCCAAAUAGGGGCCGCGUGUGGGUAACCACAGGAUCGUCUUGAUCCGAGCAGGUCCGGGUUGGCAGCUAGAAGGUGUUUGGUAACAAACGCCUUAGAUGAAUGGUCAUCGAACCGCUUCGGCGGGGAACAAAAUCCGGCUUAUAGAUCCUCCGCGUAU